rnacentral:misc_RNA from 1 species
GAUGAAGAACGUAGUGAAAUGCGAUAAGUAAUGUGAAUUGCAGAACUCAGUGAAUCAUCGAGUCUUUGAACGCUCAUUGCGCCCCCUGGUAUUCCGGGGGGCAUGCCUGUCCGAGCGUCAUUGCUGCCCUCAAGCACGGCUUGUGUGUUGGGCCUCCGUCCUCCUCCCGGGGGACGGGCCCGAAAGGCAGCGGCGGCACCGCGUCCGGUCCUCGAGCGUAUGGGGCUUCGUCACCCGCUCUUGUAGGCCCGGCCGGCGCUUGCCGACACAUCAAUCUUUUUUCCAGGUUGACCUCGGAUCAGGUAGGGAUACCCGCUGAACUUAAGCAUAUCAAUAAGCGGAGGA